UACGGAGGGAGCUAGCGUUGUUCGGAAUUACUGGGCGUAAAGCGCACGUAGGCGGCUACUCAAGUCAGAGGUGAAAUCCCUCGGCUUAACCGGGGAACUGCGUCUGAUACUGGAUGGCUUGAGUUUGGGAGAGGGACGCGGAAUUCCAGGUGUAGCGGUGAAAUGCGUAGAUAUCUGGAGGAACACCGGUGGCGAAGGCGGGUCUCUGGGCCGUAACUGGACGCUGAGGAGCGAAAGCGUGGGGAGCGAACAGG
rnacentral:rRNA from 1 species